rnacentral:rRNA from 1 species
GACGAACGCUGGCGGCGUGCUUAACACAUGCAAGUCGAACGGAAAGGCCCUGCUUUUGUGGGGUGCUCGAGUGGCGAACGGGUGAGUAACACGUGAGUAACCUGCCCUUGACUUUGGGAUAACUUCAGGAAACUGGGGCUAAUACCGGAUAGGAGCUCCUGCUGCAUGGUGGGGGUUGGAAAGAUUCGGCGGUUGGGGAUGGACUCGCGGCUUAUCAGCUUGUUGGUGGGGUAGUGGCUUACCAAGGCUUUGACGGGUAGCCGGCCUGAGAGGGUGACCGGCCACCAUGGGACUAAGAUACGGCCCAGACUCCUACGGGACGCAGCAGUGGAGAAUAUUGCGCAGUGGGCCGGAGCCUGAUGCGGCAGCGCCGCGUGCGGGAUGACGUCCUUCGGGUUGUAAACCGCUUUCUCCUGUGACGAAGCGUGAGUGACGGUAAUGGGUAAAAAAGCACCGGCUAACUACGUG